GCAGCCUCCCAUUUGAACUUUCUAAAGGAAACUUCAAGGAAAUAAGAUUUGGCACUAACAGUAACAUCAAGACUGGUGGGCUGACAUGUGGACUUCCCACCCACCUCCUCAUCAGCCUUCUCAGAUAUCAUGGGACCCGUGGCAAGGGGGUUAGUAAAAGAGCUGCUUGGGGGCUGAGCAGGGCUGCUAACAAUUCUUCAUAUAGAAGAACAUGAGAGUUUAUGAUUCCUUAUUCUCAAGAGAGAUCAUUUAUAUCUUGGGAAGAUCUGGAACAGUGAACCAGAAAUGAUAUUUUGUGAAAAGUAAUUUUCCUAUAUCGUGAUGCCCUCAGAUGGCUGGCAACUGAGAAUUUCCCCUGUGACUGUCACCACAAGGCCAACGACAAGCCACUUUAGGAUUUUGGUCAAGGGAAUGAGGAGGACCCUGUCUUUUACCAGGUCAUCUUGGCUUUAUUUUCAGGCCACACUGCUACAGCAGCUCACAGAUAUUCUUCCUGCUGUGCUCUGAGACCAACAGUAGCUGUAUGGAAUGAAUAUGGUUAGUCCAUAGUCCAGUUUCUCUGACAACCACAAGACAACAAGACUUGUCUGACUCUCAUUAACAACGUGUUACACUUUGCAGCCUUUCUGAAAAAGGCACAAUGUUCUUACAUUUUCAGUGAUCUUUCACUGUGAGUGAAUAUCAUCAGGGACUUGGAGAGGGAUUCUUUAUAAGCAGAGAUACUUGCUAAGAACAAGACAGAAAAUAGGACUCUUGAGGAAACACCCAAUGUUCAAAGACAACAGCUGCAUGCACACCACUGCAACAUAGAGUAGAAGCUGUCAAAUGGUUUAUACUGAGGGAAAUUAUUGUUCUGUGUAUCUGGAAAAAAUGUAAGGAGAAAGAAUUUCAAAUACAUUUGUGAGUAACUCAUCAUUCCUCUGCUGGUAUGUACCUCUGUGUGUACCUACGUACUACUUUCCAUUUAUGUAACAGGGAUUUUCCAGAGGGAGGUAUUCACCACUGAAGCAUUUGGAUCCUGCAGCUGCAAGCUUUGGGUUUAGAAGCUGGAGAGAGUCCAGAUGCUUCCAGCUUUUGUCAAUUCCUGCUCUCUGAAUUGCUUUGGAUGCCUACUGCAGCUCCUACAGUUCACACAUUGCCAUUCUUGCAGUUUAUCAAAAGGAUGUAAUCUUGACACUAUUCUGCUGUGCUUGCUUUGGAAGACACAAAGAGUUGGAAAAGUUCUGUCUUGCAUGUUGAACUAAUAAUGCCUGUAAGGCUUUUUGUGGCCUUAUAUAGAAAAGGGUUUUCUGGAGUGCUUGAAAUACACAAAAUAGCUGUGAGGACAGUCUGGACUCUGAAAUGGGUGGCCUUUUCUUCUGGAGGUAUUCCAGUGACCUGUCUAGUGCCUUUCUAAACCCCUGUAAACUUGUAGCUGCAGUAGGAGUUUCAUAGCUCAAGAAGGCAUUUCCAUGUUCAUCCUCUCCAUCACUGGUGACUGUAGGACAAUUAUCAGAUCUCCACCAAUAUUCUUUGUUCUCAGGCUGAAUUGUGCUUGUCUGUUUAACUGUCUUUAUUCCUGAUAGAGGAGAUAUUCCCUAUGGCUAGGAACAUAUUGGUAGCAUUUCUUUGAUUGUUUUGCAGUUCUCCUAUACCUUUUUGAGACUGGGAAAUCAGAAGUGUCCACACCAUUCAAGAAGUGGGCAGUGUAAGGUUUUAGACCAGGGACACACAGAACACAAUGACCACCUGAGUACCUGUGCUCUGUGCAAGGGGGGACACCUUGUGCUGCUCAUGGAGCAAUCUGGCAGAUCUAGAGAGGUGUUUAACCCACCUUCUUCUCCCAGUGCCCUUAUAUGUCAGGGUCACUGCUGCAGAUCCUGCUCCAUGUUAAGCUCCACACUACAAUCUAAAAAAGAAAGAAGCAUCCCUCGUAUAAGGAAAGAAGCAUCAUGAGGGAAAACACUGUGUCUUUGAGAAAAUUAUUUGAAACCUGAGUUUGUGUGGUCAGAUAAUUUCUAAAUUUUCUAAACCACCCACAAAA